rnacentral:rRNA from 1 species
UACAGAGGUCCCGAGCGUUGUUCGGAUUCACUGGGCGUAAAGGGUGCGUAGGUGGUGAGGAAAGUCGGAUGUGAAAUCUCCAAGCUCAACUUGGAAAUGGCAUUGGAAACUACCUUGCUGGAGGUUUGGAGGGGGGACUGGAAUUCUUGGUGUAGCAGUGAAAUGCGUAGAUAUCAAGAGGAACACCAGUGGCGAAGGCGAGUCCCUGGACAACACCUGACACUGAGGCACGAAAGCUAGGGGAGCAAACAGG